rnacentral:rRNA from 1 species
AUGCCAGAUCCAAUCCUCCUCCCUCCCUCCUCGCCCCGGCUCCUUGCUCCCCUCCCCUUCCAUAUCACCGUACCACCUCCCUCCUUGCCCUAUCUCGCUGCUCCCCUCCCCUUCCAGAUCGCCGCCGCCACCUCCCUCCUCCUCCCUCGCCCUGGCUCCCUGCUCCGCCUCCCUCUUCCCCUCCUCCUCAUCGUGCUGCUGCGUUCUAGAGUGUUUGCUUACAGGGCCGGGAGCGACACCAACGACACGGACGGGGACGAGGAUGAUGACCCCGUGAUGGAGGUCGACGGCACCGAGGACGAGGAGGUCGAUGAGGUCGUCCAGGCUAAGGCCGCCGCCAAGGCGCUCGGGACCAAGAGCAGCUUGGGCUCGGGCACCGUCGGUGAUGUUUUCGACGGGCUCGUGGAGCUCAACAUGGACGCCUAUGACGACGAGGAGGAUGGGCUCGAGCUUUUCAGCACCAGGCUGGGGGACUUGUACUACGAAAGCAAUGAAGAGGACCCCUAUAUCAUCAAGAACGAUGAUGAAGAUGAUGGCGAGGACGACGAUGAGGAGAUUAAGGACAUGACUAUCAAAUCUACUGAUAUAGUGAUUGUUUGCGCUCAUAACAAGGAUGAAUUCAAUUCUCUCCAGGUUAGCAUAGUGGAAGAAUUGGAGGAUGGGGAUCCUAAUAUGUUUGUGCGCCAUGAGGUCCCUCUCUCAGAUUUUCUGCUCUGCACGGCUUGGAUGGAUUUUAACCGUCAGGAUUUGGGGCCUUCUUCAAGAAGGACAAGACCAGGGCCUCCAAUGGAUCAGGGGUUUGUGCAGGCCAUCACCAUGGUAAGCCGAGGUGCUGUGGGUGUCAAGGAAGACGAUGGUUCGGUUGAGACAGUGAAGAGAGGAUAG